rnacentral:rRNA from 1 species
AUGCUGGCCGACAUAUUCUCCGGCGGGGUCUCUCCAUGGCGACGGCGGCGCUGCACCUGUGAGAAAGACAGAGGUAAGGGAAGAUAUAAAGGAGGAGAGGCAGGGAGAAGGAGAGGGCGCGAGGAACGGCGGGGAGGUCCCGUCUCCCGCGUGGGGUGGGGGGGGGGAGGUGNNNNNNNNNNNNNGGCUGCACUGCGUGCGGUCAGAGAGAGAGCCGGGAGGAAUAAGCGAAGGAAGAGGUGGCGGGAUCCUGCGGGGCUGGAUUGGAGCACCGGUGGUGCUACUGCUGCCGUUGGACGCCGGCUGAAGGGACAAGUCCCUAGAGAAGGACGGGGUUCAAGUUGUUGGGCCGGUGGCAGGGGCAGCAUGAUGUUUUCGUCAGGUAACAACCUAGGCAUCGACUCAAGAUUUAACUGA